rnacentral:rRNA from 1 species
AGUGAACGCUGGCGGUAGGCCUAACACAUGCAAGUCGAACGGCAGCACAGAGGAGCUUGCUCCUUGGGUGGCGAGUGGCGGACGGGUGAGGAAUACAUCGGAAUCUACUCUGUCGUGGGGGAUAACGUAGGGAAACUUACGCUAAUACCGCAUACGACCUACGGGUGAAAGCAGGGGAUCUUCGGACCUUGCGCGAUUGAAUGAGCCGAUGUCGGAUUAGCUAGUUGGCGGGGUAAAGGCCCACCAAGGCGACGCUCCGUAGCUGGUCUGAGAGGAUGAUCAGCCACACUGGAACUGGGACACGGUCCAGACUCCUACGGGAGGCAGCAGUGGGGAAUAUUGGACAAUGGGCGCAAGCCUGAUCCAGCCAUACCGCGUGGGUGAAGAAGGCCUUCGGGUUGUAAAGCCCUUUUGUUGGGAAAGAAAUCCAUCUGGUUAAUACCCGGGUGGGAUGACGGUACCCAAAGAAUAAGCACCGGCUAACUUCGUGCCAGCAGCCGCGGUAA